AAACCAGCACCUCAAGUGGUCAGGAUGAUUAUUGGGCCUAAAGCAUCCGUAGCCUGCUUUGUAAGUUUUCGGUUAAAUCCAUGUGCUCAACGCAUGGGCUGCCGAAAAUACUGCAUAGCUAGGGAGUGGGAGAGGUAGACGGUACUCAGUAGGUAGGGGUAAAAUCCUUUGAUCUAUUGAUGACCACCUGUGGCGAAGGCGGUCUACCAGAACACGUCCGACGGUGAGGGAUGAAAUCUGGGGGAGCAAACCGGAUUAGAAACCCGAGUAGUCC
rnacentral:rRNA from 1 species